CGGAACCAGUCCACGGUCGCACGCAUGUCACCAGAGCGCUGAGAGUCGAAGAAACCGAGGAGUGGUGUUUUGGCCACAUCAUUGAACUGCAUUUGGAGGCAGAUGCCGUUUCAGAGCCGCCCCCCCUCCAAAUCUUCUUCGAGGUGAUAUCAACCGACUGGUGGGGCCGGCACCGCACCGAAGGGUACAGCUAUCUCGCUCUUCCCCUGCGUCCAGGGUCGCACAGCAAGCUGCUGUCCUGCUCUCGCCCUGACGAGUGGGAUAGGGUGGAGGCUGGCAGUCGUAGGUUCUUCGUGGGAGGGUGUAACUUGAUCAAGGACUUGGAUGUGUUGGCUAACCCGCAGUUGCAGAACGCCAACUUCGUCUUCACAACAACCGGGAGCAUAUCUAUCCGCUGGCAUACCCUCUCCCAAUCCCCGCUCCCAGGGUACUCUCUACCGGGGCCCACUGUUGGGCGCUCCGCGUCUGCUGUCUUACUGGGGGCAGAGGCGGUGCUGCGGCAGUACAGGAGGGCGCGGGCCCGGCUCGCCGCCGCCACCAGGGACCUGCGCCACGACGGCUCCGGGGACGCGCCGUCUUUGGACGAGUCUUGAGAAGACCUACCGUCUUGAGAAGACCUAACUCCAGCGUGGAUUCUUGGAAGAUGACGAACGUUCUGUCAUUGUAUCUAC